CCCAACAUGGCCCCAAACAUGUCCAAUCCCAUUUAAUUUUGGAAGCAAAACAGGGUCAUGCUGGUUAGUACUUCGAUGGGAGAUCACAAGGGAAUACCAUGGAUGUUGAGG
rnacentral:rRNA from 1 species